AUUUCCAGAAAUUUCCAAAGUUUUAUAAAUAUCUCUAUCUCUCUUUUGUUUUAGGCUAAAAUAAAUGAAGCUGUAGAAUGCUUACUGUCCCUGAAAGCUCAAUAUAAAGAAAAAACUGGGAAGGAGUACAUACCUGGUCAGCCCCCAUUAUCUCAAAGUUCAGAUUCAAGCCCAACCAGAAAUUCUGAACCGGCUGGUUUAGAAACACCAGAAGCCAAAUUACUUUUUGACAAAGUAGCUUCUCAAGGAGAAGUAGUUCGGAAACUUAAAACUGAAAAAGCCCCUAAGGAUCAAAUAGAUAUAGCUGUACAAGAACUCCUUCAGCUAAAGGCACAGUACAAGUCUUUGAUAGGAGUAGAGUAUAAGCCUGUGUCAGCCACUGGAGCUGAGGACAAAGAUAAGAAGAAGAAA